AUGAACGCUAGCUACAGGCUUAACACAUGCAAGUCGAGGGGCAGCAUGGUCUUAGCUUGCUAAGGCUGAUGGCGACCGGCGCACGGGUGAGUAACACGUAUCCAACCUGCCGUCUACUCUUGGCCAGCCUUCUGAAAGGAAGAUUAAUCCAGGAUGGCAUCAUGAGUUCACAUGUCCGCAUGAUUAAAGGUAUUUUCCGGUAGACGAUGGGGGUGCGUUCCAUUAGAUAGUAGGCGGGGUAACGGCCCACCUAGUCAACGAUGGAUAGGGGUUCUGAGAGGAAGGUCCCCCACAUUGGAACUGAGACACGGUCCAAACUCCUACGGGAGGCAGCAGUGAGGAAUAUUGGUCAAUGGGCGAUGGCCUGAACCAGCCAAGUAGCGUGAAGGAUGACUGCCCUAUGGGUUGUAAACUUCUUUUAUAAAGGAAUAAAGUCGGGUAUGCAUACCCGUUUGCAUGUACUUUAUGAAUAAGGAUCGGCUAACUCCGUGCCAGCAGCCGCGGUAAUACGGAGGAUCCGAGCGUUAUCCGGAUUUAUUGGGUUUAAAGGGAGCGUAGAUGGAUGUUUAAGUCAGUUGUGAAAGUUUGCGGCUCAACCGUAAAAUUGCAGUUGAUACUGGAUGUCUUGAGUGCAGUUGAGGCAGGCGGAAUUCGUGGUGUAGCGGUGAAAUGCUUAGAUAUCACGAAGAACUCCGAUUGCGAAGGCAGCCUGCUAAGCUGCAACUGACAUUGAGGCUCGAAAGUGUGGGUAUCAAACAGGAUUAGAUACCCUGGUAGUCCACACGGUAAACGAUGAAUACUCGCUGUUUGCGAUAUACGGCAAGCGGCCAAGCGAAAGCGUUAAGUAUUCCACCUGGGGAGUACGCCGGCAACGGUGAAACUCAAAGGAAUUGACGGGGGCCCGCACAAGCAGUGGAGUAUGUGGUUUAAUUCGACGCAACGCGAAGAACCUUACCAAGUCUUGACAUCCCUUGACGAACAUAGAAAUAUGUUUUCUCUUCGGAGCAAGGAGACAGGUGGUGCAUGGUUGUCGUCAGCUCGUGUCGUGAGAUGUUGGGUUAAGUCCCGCAACGAGCGCAACCCUUGUUGUCAGUUACUAACAGGUGAUGCUGAGGACUCUGACAAGACUGCCAUCGUAAGAUGUGAGGAAGGUGGGGAUGACGUCAAAUCAGCACGGCCCUUACGUCCGGGGCUACACACGUGUUACAAUGGGGGGUACAGAGGGCCGCUACCACGCGAGUGGAUGCCAAUCCCUAAAACCCCUCUCAGUUCGGACUGGAGUCUGCAACCCGACUCCACGAAGCUGGAUUCGCUAGUAAUCGCGCAUCAGCCACGGCGCGGUGAAUACGUUCCCGGGCCUUGUACACACCGCCCGUCAAGCCAUGGGAGCCGGGGGUACCUGAAGUGCGUAACCGCGAGGAUCGCCCUAGGGUAAAACUGGUGACUGGGGCU
rnacentral:rRNA from 1 species